GGGGGUGACUGGUUUCGACUUUGUGCGUUGCGGCAGGUGAAGCGAGCCGAGGAAGCCAACGUUGUCUCGCUAAUCAUUCGUUGGAAAGUAAUAAGCGCCAAGAUGAAGCGCUCCGAGCUCGCGCUCGCCGCCUGAGGCGGGUAGCGACUCUGUCGGCCUAGGAAUGCCUUCGUCCUAGAUCCCGGCAUCAGCUAGAAGGCUGGCCAAGCGGACGCGGCUACGGCGUCCGGGCGGCGAGAUCUAAUGUGGCUGGGCCCGUCACUCCGACUCGCUCGUGUGAUCGGAGGGGCCGAGUAGAGGCAUAGCGAGCUGCGCUCGGAGAAGCCCUGUCAAGACGGCGAAGGACCCGGGUUCGAUUCCCGGCACCUCCAC
rnacentral:tmRNA from 1 species